rnacentral:rRNA from 1 species
UACAGAGGUCUCAAGCGUUGUUCGGAUUCAUUGGGCGUAAAGGGUGCGUAGGCGGCGCGCUAAGUCGGGUGUGAAAUUUCGGAGCUUAACUCCGAAACUGCAUUCGAUACUGGCGUGCUUGAGGACUGGAGAGGAGACUGGAAUUUACGGUGUAGCAGUGAAAUGCGUAGAGAUCGUAAGGAAGACCAGUGGCGAAGGCGAGUUUCUGGACGGUAACUGACGCUGAGGCACGAAGGCCAGGGGAGCAAACGGG